CCUACGGGGAGCAGCAGUCGAGAAUCAUUCACAAUGGGGGAAACCCUGUUGGUGCGACGCCGCGUGGGGGAAUGAAGGUCUUCGGAUUGUAAACCCCUGUCAUGUGGGAGCAAAUUAAAAAGAUAGUACCACAAGAGGAAGAGACGGCUAACUCUGUGCCAGCAGCCGCGGUAAUACAGAGGUCUCAAGCGUUGUUCGGAAUCACUGGGCGUAAAGCGUGCGUAGGCUGUUUCGUAAGUCGUGUGUGAAAGGCGCGGGCUCAACCCGCGGACGGCACAUGAUACUGCGAGACUAGAGUAAAGGAGGGGGAACCGGAAUUCUCGGUGUAGCAGUGAAAUGCGUAGAUAUCGAGAGGAACACUCGUGGCGAAGGCGGGUUCCUGGACAUUAACUGACGCUGAGGCACGAAGGCCAGGGGAGCGAAAGGGAUUAGAUACCCGGGUAGUC
rnacentral:rRNA from 1 species